rnacentral:rRNA from 1 species
GACAGAGGGUGCAAACGUUGUUCGGAGUUACUGGGCGUAAAGCGCGUGUAGGCUGCUCGGAAAGUCGGAUGUGAAAGCCCUGGGCUCAACCUAGGAAGAGCAUUCGAAACUUCUGAGCUUGAGUUUCGGAGAGGAAGGCGGAAUUCUCGGUGUAGAGGUGAAAUUCGUAGAUAUCGAGAGGAACACCGGUGGCGAAGGCGGCCUUCUGGACGAAAA